CCUACGGGAGGCAGCAGUGGGGAAUAUUGCACAAUGGGGGAAACCCUGAUGCAGCGACGCCGCGUGAGUGAAGAAGUAAUUCGUUACGUAAAGCUCUAUCAGCAGGGAAGAAACACUGACCUUACGGUCAGCAGACGGUACCUGAGUAAGAAGCCCCGGCUAACCCGGUGCCAGCAGCCGCGGUAAUACGGAGGAUUCAAGCGUUAUCCGGUUUUAUUGGGUUUAAGGGGUGGGAAGGCGGUCGGAAAAGUUAGAGGUGAAUGCCCGAGGCUCAAGUUGUGAAGUGCCGCUGAUACUGUCCGGCUGGAAGGCAGAUGCGGUGGGAGGAAUGUGUGGUGUAGCGGUGAAAUGCUUAGAGAUCAUACAGAACACCGAUUGCGAAGGCAGCUUACGAAGCCGCGAUUGACGUUGAGGCACGAAAGCGUGGGUAGCAAACAGGAUUAGAUACCCGAGUAGUC
rnacentral:rRNA from 1 species